rnacentral:rRNA from 1 species
GACGAACGCUGGCGGCGUGCUUAACACAUGCAAGUCGAACGGAAAGGCCCUUCGGGGUACUCGAGUGGCGAACGGGUGAGUAACACGUGGGUGAUCUGCCCUGCACUUUGGGAUAAGCCUGGGAAACUGGGUCUAAUACCGAAUAGGACCACGGCCUUCAUGGGUUGUGGUGGAAAGCUUUUGCGGUGUGGGAUGGGCCCGCGGCCUAUCAGCUUGUUGGUGGGGUAAUGGCCUACCAAGGCGACGACGGGUAGCCGGCCUGAGAGGGUGACCGGCGAAACUGGGACUGAGAUACGGCCCAGACUCCUACGGGAGGCAGCAGUGGGGAAUAUUGCACAAUGGGCGCAAGCCUGAUGCAGCGACGCCGCGUGAGGGAUGACGGCCUUCGGGUUGUAAACCUCUUUCAAUAGGGACGAAGCGCAAGUGACGGUACCUAUAGAAGAAGCACCGGCCAACUACGUGCCAGCCGCCGCCGUAAGAC